UUAGGUUUGAUCAUGGCUCAGACGAACGCUGNCGGCGUGCUUAACACAUGCAAGUCGAACGCGAAAGUUUUCUUCGAAGACGAGUAGAGUGGCGCACGGGUGAGUGACGCGUAAGUAAUCUACCCCGGCAUCUGGAAUAACUCACCGAAAGGUGUGCUAAUACCGGAUACGUUGGUAACAAGAAAGGUGGCCUCUGCAUAUGCUACCGUGCUGGGAUGAGCUUGCGUACCAUUAGCUAGUUGGUAGGGUAAUGGCCUACCAAGGCAACGAUGGUUAGCGGGUCUGAGAGGAUGAUCCGCCACACUGGAACUGGAACACGGACCAGACUCCUACGGGAGGCAGCAGUGAGGAAUAUUGCGCAAUGGGGGCAACCCUGACGCAGCGACGCCGCGUGGAUGAUGAAGGCCUUCGGGUCGUAAAAUCCUGUCAGAUGGAAAGAAGUGUUAUGUGGUUAAUACCCAUGUAGCUUGACGGUACCAUCG
rnacentral:rRNA from 1 species